rnacentral:lncRNA from 1 species
UGGCAAGUGCGACCCACCCUGCCAGGCUCAUGGGCCACCUGGCAGGAGUCCACAGUUGCUGUGCUGACAGAAACCUGAAUAGAAGCCGUUUUCCAGAAGUGAGCCCAGAGGACGUCCUAGAUGAGAGUCAACGAUCACCAGAGCUGACGUGACUGUGGUGAGCAUGAAGGAGGCCUGGGAGGUGCGGGGACCAGACCAGCAAGGGACACAGCAGAAAAGGAGCCAGCUUGCUGCUUCCUCUACAUCUAGCCCCAGGCCCAGACUCUUGCCCCAACUGCAGCUUCCCAGGCCAGGGCUUCCAGGCUCACCCAGAUCCUGGUCCUGGGAGGCCGAGGGACCCGGGGCCACAUCAACGAGCACUUAUUCUCAACCUCUGGGAACCUGGCAUUUGUGGAGCACGUUGGCUGACCAUGCUCAGUGCACAGGUCGGGCUCUGAGCCAGGGAGUGCACCCCAGAGGGCUGCAGUCACUGCUUCUGCCCAGGCUGCAGUACCAGCUGGAUGACCAGGAGUGGCCAGAGGGUGAAAGGAGCUUCUGUGAAGUGAGAUAUCCACAGGGUCUCUGAAAAGUGCUGGUUCAUUCUUGAGGAUCUGGAGGCCGCACACCUGCCCAGGGACUGAGACAGUCCCAAAGCCUCACUGUGCUCUGCACACAGGAGGUAAAGCCCAGAGUCAAGUGGCCAAUGGCUGAGCCCUCACAGAGCCUGGAGCACUCACUGGUGUGAGUAAUCUUGCCAGCAUUAGUGGCCCUGUGAGAGAGCUGAGCCUCACUGGUGUGAUGCUGUCAGCAGGAAGGAGCAGAACAGAGGGCCCUGGCACACUGGGGCGGAAUGAAGAUCACUGCAGCCUGAGGGGAAGCAGCACAGAGGUUCCUCCAGAACUGUGCUCUGCCAUGGAGGCGGUGCACUUGAAAUCAGAACACAGAGGAGACAGCCACAUUCAGGGCUUAUUGCGGCUGAGCCUGCAAGCCCAACGGAGGACGGAGGACGGAGGACGGAGGACAGAGGAUGGAGGGUCAGGGAAAACCACUCAGCCCUAAAACAGAGAGCUGAAGGGCCUAAGCCAGGUGGAGCCAGGCAUGGCCACCAGGGAUCUCCAGGGGCUGGGCAUGGGCCGGGGAGGUGCUGGUCUAAGGGUCAGCAUUUCAGAUGGAAGGAGUGAGUUCUGACCCCUGUGGUGCAGCUGGU